UGUUAUAUCAAGAGCUGGGUGAAACUCGGCUGGGUGAAAUUUCCAUUUGCAGGGAUUAGUAUGAAUCUAUUUUCCAGAUCUGAGGUUCAGAUUCCAACAGAAACUCAAAGCAAAAUUCACCACCAAGUUCUGCCUGAUUUCAGAUGGAAGCAAAAGAUCCAAAACUAUACUUCAUGUGGCUUCCCCCUGAGAAAUGCCAUGAGGCCAGGGACCCAUUGUGCUAUGUGAAGAAGAUGGUCCCUACCCAAAAUACUGUACCUGGAUGGAGGCCUGAGGCUGGAUCACUUUAAGGGACCUGAGUUUGGACUUCUGAGUACCAGUAAGGUAAUAAGGAAGCUGUUUUAUGCUGGCUUGGUAAAUCUAAGUAUUGGAAUAUCCACCAGCUUUAUGGGGAUUCUCCGCCCCAUUCUUUGCGGUUCACCCUAAUUGAAUGACCAUAGCUGGCUCCCCACUAGG